GACGUAGGGGGCCAGCGUUGUUCGGAAUUACUGGGUGUAAAGGGUUCGUAGGCGGUGCGGCAAGUUGGGAGUGAAAUCUCUGGGCUUAACCCAGAGGCUGCUUCCGAAACUGCUGUGCUUGAGUGUGGGAGAGGCGCGUGGAAUUGCAGGUGUAGCGGUGAAAUGCGCAGAUAUCGGGAAGAACACCCGUGGCGAAGGCGGUUCUCUGGGACGGUACUGACGCUGAGACGCGAAAGCGUGGGGAGCGAACAGG
rnacentral:rRNA from 1 species